rnacentral:rRNA from 1 species
AGGUGGUGCAUGGUUGUCGUCAGCUCGUGUCGUGAGAUGUUGGGUUAAGUCCCGCAACGAGCGCAACCCCUAUCUUCAGUAGCCAGCAUUUAGGAUGGGCACUCUGGAAAAACUGCCAGGGACAACCUGGAGGAAGGGGGGGACGACGUCAAAUCAUCAUGCCCCUUAUGGCCAGGGCUACCCCCGUGCUACAAUGGCGUAAACAAAGGGAGGCGAGCCCGCGAGGGGGAGCAAAUCCCAAAAAUAACGUCUCAGUUCGGAUUGUAAUCUGCAACUCCACUACCUGAAGCUGGAAUCGCUAGUAAUCGCGAAUCAAAAUGGCGCGGUGAAUACCUUCCCGGGU